rnacentral:rRNA from 1 species
UUAAGGUAGGUAUUGCAACAUGAAUACAUAGUGUUGCAAGGCGAACGAGGGGAAGUGAAACAUCUCAGUACCCUUAGGAAAAGAAAUCAAUUGAGAUUCCCUCAGUAGCGGCGAGCGAACGGGGAUCAGCCCAUUAAGUUAUGUGUGUUUUAGUGGAACGCUCUGGGAAGUGCGAACGUAGAGGGUGAUAUUCCCGUACACGAAAGGGCACACAUAAUGAUGACGAGUAGGGCGAGGCACGUGAAACCUUGUCUGAAUAUGGGGGGACCAUCCUCCAAGGCUAAAUACUCCUGACUGACCGAUAGUGAACCAGUACCGUGAGGGAAAGGCGAAAAGAACCCCUGUGAGGGGAGUGAAAUAGAUCCUGAAACCGCAUGCAUACAAGCAGUGGGAGCACCUUCGUGGUGUGACUGCGUACCUUUUGUAUAAUGGGUCAGCGACUUAUAUUCAGUAGCGAGGUUAACCGUAUAGGGGAGCCGUAGAGAAAUCGAGUCUUAAUAGGGCGUUUAGUUGCUGGGUAUAGACCCGAAACCAGGCGAUCUAUCCAUGAGCAGGUUGAAGGUUGGGUAACACUAACUGGAGGACCGAACCCACUGUCGUUGAAAAGCCAGGGGAUGACUUGUGGAUAGGGGUGAAAGGCUAAUCAAGCCUGGUGAUAGCUGGUUCUCCCCGAAAGCUAUUUAGGUAGCGCCUCGGACGAAUACCAUAGGGGGUAGAGCACUGUUUCGGCUAGGGGGUCAUCCCGACUUACCAAACCGAUGCAAACUCCGAAUACCUAUGAGUACUAUCCGGGAGACAGACUGCGGGUGCUAACGUCCGUAGUCAAGAGGAAAACAAUCCAGACCGCCAGCUAAGGCCCCAAAAUCAUAGUUAAGUGGGAAACGAUGUGGGAAGGCAUAGACAGCUAGGAGGUUGGCUUAGAAGCAGCCACCCUUUAAAGAAAGCGUAAUAGCUCACUAGUCGAGUCGGCCUGCGCGGAAGAUGUAACGGGGCUAAAACUAUGUGCCGAAGCUGCGGAUUUGACAUUAGUCAAGUGGUAGGGGAGCGUUCUGUAAGCCGAUGAAGGUGUAUUGAGAAGUAUGCUGGAGGUAUCAGAAGUGCGAAUGCUGACGUGAGUAACGACAAAACGGGUGAAAAACCCGUUCGCCGAAAGACCAAGGGUUCCAGUCCAACGUUAAUCGGGGCUGGGUGAGUCGACCCCUAAGGCGAGGCCGAAAGGCGUAGUCGAUGGGAAAUUGGUUAAUAUUCCAAUACUUCUGUGUAAUGCGAUGAGAGGACGGAGAAGGUUAAGUCAGCCUGGCGUUGGUUGUCCAGGUGGAAGGAUGUAGGCAUGUAUCUUAGGCAAAUCCGGGGUACUCUAUGCUGAGAUCUGAUAGCAAGCUGUACUUGUACAGUGAAGUGGUUGAUGCCAUGCUUCCAGGAAAAGUCUCUAAGCUUCAGUUACACAGGAAUCGUACCCGAAACCGACACAGGUGGUCAGGUCGAGUAGACCAAGGCGCUUGAGAGAACUCUGCUGAAGGAACUAGGCAAAAUGGUACCGUAACUUCGGGAGAAGGUACGCUGUUGUUGGUGAUGGAACUUGCUUCCUGAGCUGACGACAGCCGCAGAAACCAGGCCGCUGCAACUGUUUAUUAAAAACAUAGCACUCUGCAAACACGAAAGUGGACGUAUAGGGUGUGAUGCCUGCCCGGUGCUGGAAGGUUAAUUGAUGGGGUUAGCGUAAGCGAAGCUCUUGAUCGAAGCCCCAGUAAACGGCGGCCGUAACUAUAACGGUCUUAAGGU